CCUACGGGAGGCAGCAGUGGGGAAUAUUGCACAAUGGGGGGAACCCUGAUGCAGCGACGCCGCGUGAGUGAAGAAGUAUUUCGGUAUGUAAAGCUCUAUCAGCAGGGAGGAAAGUGACGGUACCUGACUAAGAAGCCCCUGCUAACUACGUGCCAGCAGCCGCGGGAAUACGUAGGGGGCAAGCGUUAUCCGGAUGUACUGGGUGGAAAGGGAGCGUAGACGGUUAUGCAAGUCUGAAGUGAAAGCCCCAGGCUCAACCAUGGGAUUGCUUUUGAAACUGUAAAACUGGAGUGCAGGAGAGGGAAGCGGAAUUCCUAGGGUAGCGGUGAAAUGCGUAGAUAUUAGGAGGAACACCAGAGGCGAAGGCGGC
rnacentral:rRNA from 1 species